UACAGAGGGGGCAAGCGUUAUUCGGAAUUACUGGGCGUAAAGCGCGCGCAGGCGGUUUUUCAAGUCAGUGGUGAAAGCCCGGAGCUCAACUCCGGAACUGCCAUUGAAACUGUAAAACUUGAGGACGAGAGAGGUGAGUGGAAUUCCCAGUGUAGAGGUGAAAUUCGUAGAUAUUGGGAAGAACACCGGUGGCGAAGGCGGCUCACUGGCUCGUAUCUGACGCUCAGGCGCGACAGCGUGGGGAUCAAACAGG
rnacentral:rRNA from 1 species